GCAAUAUGGACAUCUAUGAAAGCUGCAUUGAUCGGGCAAUCGGUUAGGGGCUCCAAUGGCGCUGUAAAUUGACCCAACGCGUAUUCGCCGCUGUCAAAGUAGGUUUCAUCGUACCAUCCCUCACUAGGAUCCAUGUAAGAUUUGAGGCUGAGUUGCAGACUUGGAAGAGAAUAUAAAUGAUUCAUUGCCACUAAUUCCUGGAUAUAUAGCUCAAUGCGUAUUCGCAUUGGAAGUUAUUGGAGACAGGAUUGAACCCCAAGAAAGUGGUUGGGAAGCUCACAGAGUGUACUUGGUGAAGGUAGAUCUUUCGCUAGAAGUGAACCUACAAUCAAUCCCGGCUCGCAAGAACCAUGAAAGCAUCAUAGAAAACAAUUCACGGGUCUCUGAAUCUCUAUUUUGGUGGAAUUCAUCAAAGACAAAUGGAGAUGAAUUACAAUGGACAGAAUGUGUACUAAACAAACCGCCUGGCUAUGGUCAGGUUGCAAGUACAGUUAGGCCGGUUGUCUUUGUUGGUUAUCACUUUAAGCACAGGAUUGAACUCGAAGAAAUUGGUCGGUCGAAGCUCAAAUCCGCCCCUCAAUGUCGGCAUUACUGGAAAAUCUUCCUGUGAAGGUACAUGAUGAAACCCCACUAUGUACCACAACACUAUGUCCUUAUUUUCGAUCUCCCUAUUCCUGCACAAAUCACAAUAUGGGCAUUGAUUUAUACUUGAACCAAGUAAGAUUGAUCAAGAUAUGGUGCGUACCUGAGGGUCCAAGUGCCUAACGUAUCAUCUCCUCUGCUUUGAUCAACAUACUGUUCUCCCUCCCAUUUUUCAGACUUGUUAUAUGGAGUAACCCACACAUUGUAAUCAGUAAAGGCAGCUCACAUUUGCGGGUAAUCGUCUUUCGCUAGUAAUGGACCUGCAGUUGAUCCUGGUAUCAAGCGAUAACCAACAUUGUUUCCAGGUUUAGUGUAUUUAUUUGGGUUCACCACUGCCACCUCCAUUGGCUUUGAGCCCAACUUAAUUCUUGCAUCUAGUUCAGUCUUUGCUGUUUCUUUCUCAACUGCCCAGUAACUCUUCCCUGGUACGCUCUUGUCUGUCACUCUCCUGGUCACAAAAUUGGUCUUGAUGAAGGA